GUACAACAGAAAGUGUUAAGUUUGUGACCUUCGCUAGAUUGCUCCGGUCACUAAUGUGGAUAAGUAUGUAAAUGGAUAGAGACAAGGAAGCAAACACAAGAUGUACGUGGUUCACCCAGAUUGGCUACGUCCACAGAGUAGAGGAGUUCUCAUUAAUUGUGAAGGGUUUACACAAGUACAUAGGUUCAAGUUCUCCUUUAGUGAGUACAAGUGAAUGAUUUAGUACAAAUGACAUUAGGAAAUCUUGUGAGAGAAUGAUCUCUAUUUAUAAAAGAGAGUUUCUAAUUUCAUUCUGACAUUGACACGUGUCGUGUUAUGAUUGGCUUCUGAUGUUGACAAGUGUCACGCUAUGAUUGGCUUCUGAUGUUGACACGUGUCGCGUUGUGAUUGGCCUCUUGGUUGGAGGGAAACUCUUCUGGGUCCUUAAUGGUAUAAUGUUGACCGGUGCUUAGUAGUUUUAGGAUUGGUCAAGUAUGGUACAAACAAAAGUUUUAGUUGUGACCAUUAAUUUUUCAAUCACCCAACAAAUACUCUAUUAAGCAAAUCGUUAUCAUUGGUGAUUGAAUAUUCUAGAAACUACUGUUGUAGUGAGAUGUUAUGCAUUAAUCUAGUUACUUUGUAUUCUAGAUUGAUGGACUUGUUUCGACUCUCAAUUCUUAAU
rnacentral:lncRNA from 1 species